rnacentral:rRNA from 1 species
CGUGUAGGCGGUCAGGUAAGUGGAAUGUGAAAUGCCCCGGCUCACCCGGGGACCGGCAUCCCAAACUGCCUGGCUUGAGUAUGGGAGAGGAUGGAGGAAUUCCUGGUGUAGCGGUGAAAUGCGUAGAUAUCGGGAGGAACACCGGUGGCGAAGGCGUCCAUCUGGCCCAAUACUGACGCUGAGGCGCGAAAGCUAGGGGAGCAAACG